rnacentral:tRNA from 1 species
GGGGCAGUAGUUCAGUGGCAGAGCCUCCGCUUCGUGGGCGGGAACACCUGGGUUCGGUUCUCGGCUGCUUUC